AUGGACCGCUUUGCAAAGCUUAACAUCUGUGAAAGUCAGCGGCGCCAUUUACGGAAAUUUCUUAUUGGCAUUCGCAAUUGCAAGUUUCCAGAAUUGCUCACAUCUGAGCCAGUUAUGCAAAGUGAAAAUAAUUAUGGUAACAGUUCUAAUGUUAAUGAUAUGGUCGCGAUCUCUAGUACUCCCCAAAUCACCAGUGUUACCGCUCCUGCUACUGCCAUAUCAUGUGACGACACCUUGCUCACGAAGGUCAGCCGUAAACAUAUGGUGAAGUUUCUUGAGAUUAUGGAAACCACAAAGGAAUUCGAAACUGUCAACGAUGUGCCGCCAUUGGAUAUCAUCCUCUACAGAGAGCUUAUGGAACCAGCAUGGGGUUGGCAAAGGCUAUUGCCCUGGAAGUCUGGUUAUGUUCUUUUUGAAGCCUAUUUGAAAUACCUUGAUGAGUACUACUACCGGAAUAUAACUCGUGAUUUCAACCUUUAUGCUGCAGCCUGUAUUUGUCUGGAGACGGAGAAGAAGUUGAGUACUGCAGUAGGUCUCACUCCUAAGCUUGCUGAACUGAGCAAGAGUAUCAAGGAGAAAGCGGACAGUGUGACCAAAUCAGAUUCUGAAUCUCCUGUUGCAGCUGCUGGCUUUAUGUGUAUUGCGGAAGAAGCCAUGUUGAUGUCUGAGUUAUUGGAAUGUGAAACCAAGAACCGUGAGGAUGAGGAUGAUUUCAUUACCGAGGUGCUGGAGGAUAAGUUGUUUGACUUUAGCAAUGCUGUCCGUGAGAUUGUGUUUGAUAUUUUGAUCACCUACAAAGGGCCUUUUUCUGAAGCUGUUGCUGCUUUCAUGUUGGGCUUGAAAAAGGAGGCCACUCUUGUACGUGAGUUAUUGGAGCUGAAUCGAAACUGCAUGGACCGCUUUGCAAAGCUUCACAUCUGUGAGAGUCUAAGGCCAUGCUUACGAAAAUUUCUUUACGGCAUUCGCAACAGCAAGUUUCCAGAAUUGCGGACGUCUGAAUCAGAUCAGGCAAGUGCUGUGAAUGACCGCGAAGCUGACCAUGAAAACAAGAGUAUGGAAGGCAAGAGCAAUGGAGAUCUCGAUUGUACAACCUUUAGGCAUCUGCUCCCUCCGCCUCACAAUGCAGUGCAGUGCCCAGUUCUCACGCAUCUCAAUCAGAGUUCGAUGUAUACAAAGGAAAGUCAACAGAUUGCUGGCCUCUGA
rnacentral:rRNA from 1 species